rnacentral:rRNA from 1 species
UGACGGUACCUGAAGAAUAAGCACCGGCUAACUACGUGCCAGCAGCCGCGGUAAUACGUAGGGUGCGAGCGUUAAUCGGAAUUACUGGGCGUAAAGCGUGCGCAGGUGGUUUGUUAAGACAGAUGUGAAAUCCCCGGGCUCAACCUGGGAACUGCAAUUGUGACUGGCAGACUAGAGUUUGGCAGAGGGGGGUGGAAUUCCUGGUGUAGCAGUGAAAUGCGUAGAUAUCAGGAGGAACACCGAUGGCGAAGGCAGCCCCCUGGGCCAUGACUGACACUCAUGCACGAAAGCGUGGGGAGCAAACAGGAUUAGAUACCCUGGUAGUCCACGCCCUAAACGAUGUCAACUAGUUGUUGGGUCUUCAUUGACUUAGUAACGUAGCUAACGCGUGAAGUUGACCGCCUGGGGAGUACGGCCGCAAGGUUAAAACUCAAAGGAAUUGACGG